GACGAACGCUGGCGGCGUGCUUAACACAUGCAAGUCGAACGAGUGGCGAACGGGUGAGUCACAAGUGGGUGACCUGCCCUGCCCUUCGGGAUAAGCCUGGGCAACUGGGUCUAAUAACGGCUAGUGUGGGAUGGGCCCGCGGCCUAUCAGCUUUUGGGUGGGGUAAUGGCUACCAAGGCGCGACGGGUAGCCGGCCUGAGAGGGUGGACGGCCACAUUGGGACUGAGACACGGCCCAGACUCCUACGGGAGGCAGCAGUGGGGAAUAUUGCACAAUGGGCGCAAGCCUGAUGCAGCCAUGCCGCGUGUGUGAAGAAGGCCUUCGGGUUGUAAAGCACUUUCAGCGAGGAGGCGUUACUCGCAGAAGAAGCACCGGCUAACUACGUGCCAGCAGCCGCGGUAAUAC
rnacentral:rRNA from 1 species